AGAGUUUGAUCCUGGCUCAGAAUGAACGCUGGCGGUGUGCCUAACACAUGCAAGUCGAGCGAGAAAGCUCCUUCGGGAGUAAGUAAAGCGGCGGACGGGUGAGUAACACGUAAGAACCUGCCUUUUAGUGAAGAAUACCUUCGAGAAAUCGGAGUUAAUGCUGCAUACGUCCCUUCGGGGAGAAAAGUGGCUUUUAUGCUACUGCUAAAAGAUGGGCUUGCGGACUAUCAGUUUGUUGGUGGGGUAAAGGCCUACCAAGACUAUGACGGUUAGCCGACCUGAGAGGGUGAUCGGCCACAUUGGGACUGAGAUACGGCCCAGACUCCUACGGGAGGCAGCAGUGGGGAAUAUUGCGCAAUGGGCGAAAGCCUGACGCAGCAACACCGCGUGGAGGAUGAAGGUUUUAGGAUCGUAAACUCCUGUUAGUUGGGAAGAAAAACUUUUUUUUAAUACAAAAAAGUCAUGACGGUACCAGCAGAGAAAGCACCGGCUAACUUCGUGCCAGCAGCCGCGGUAAUACGAGGGGUGCAAGCGUUAUUCGGAAUAACUGGGCGUAAAGGGUGUGUAGACGGUAUGUUAAGUUUGUUGUUAAAUCUUCCGGCCUAACCGGAAAACUGCAAUGAAAACUGGCAAACUAGAGGAUGAGAGAGAGGAGUGGAAUUCCCGGAGUAGCGGUAAAAUGCGUAGAUCUCGGGAGGAACACCAAUGGCGAAGGCAGCUCCUUGGCUCAUUUCUGACGUUGAGACACGAAAGCGUGGGUAGCAAACAGGAUUAGAUACCCUGGUAGUCCACGCCGUAAACGAUAAUCACUAGAUGUUAGUCUGGCUUGCCGGAUUAGUAUCGUAGCUAACGCGUUAAGUGAUUCGCCUGGGGAGUACGGUCGCAAGGCUAAAACUCAAAGGAAUUGACGGGGGUCCGCACAAGCGGUGGAACAUGUGGUUUAAUUCGACACUACGCGAGGAACCUUACCUAGGCUUGACAUGUAUUUGACCGUCAUAGAGAUAUGACUUUCUAAGUUUCGGCUUAGACAGAUUCACAGGUGCUGCAUGGCUGUCGUCAGCUCGUGUCGUGAGAUGUUGGGUUAAGUCCUUUAACGAGCGCAACCCCUGCUAUCAGUUGCAAUUGUCUUCGGAUGGAGCACUCUGGUAGGACUGCCUGGGAAACCAGGAGGAAGGUGGGGACGACGUCAAGUCAUCAUGGUCCUUAUGUCUAGGGCUACACACGUGUUACAAUGGCCAGUACAGAGGGCAGCGAUACCGCGAGGUGGAGCAAAUCUCAGAAAGCUGGUCUAAGUUCGGAUUAGGGUCUGCAAUUCGACCCUAUGAAGUUGAAAUCGCUAGUAAUCGCGUAUCAGCAACGACGCGGUGAAUACGUUCUCGGGCCUUGCACACACCG
rnacentral:rRNA from 1 species